UGCAGAUGAAGAAACCUAAUUAAUUAAGAUUUGGUCCUCUCUUCUUCUUCACUUUUAUAAAAAAGGGAAAAAACACAAAAAAAAAAAUUCAAUUUCCUCCAUUUUCAUUAGUAAAUAUUUUUGGAUUUCCCUUAAUUUUGCUAUAAUUGACUAGUCACCCUCUAAUUUUGUUUAUCUUUUUACCCUCCUCAGGCUCAGUCCUCUCUCGGUCUCUACCACUCCCGUGAUUUCCUUUAUCUUUUAGCAAUUUGUGUUGUUAGAUCUGAAAAAAUUUCAUUUCCCAAACAACCACCCACUCGCCGGCCGACCAGAUCCACCGCCGCUGAUUUCAAAUCUAUGGAUGAUUUUCCUGGUCUCUUGGCCCGGGACUUCGGCUUCAAACCCCAGGGUAAAUCCGCCCCCAUGGCUCCGUCCCGUAAUACCAACACUAACACUAACACUUUCUCCUCUGUCAAUUUCGGUCUCGGAUCCAGUGCUUCUGCUCACUCCCGAUCAUCCUCCGCUUCCAACAAAUCUGCUCCUAUUUUCGAUGAUCAUGAUCACGAUCGCGAUGUCAGUGAUGGUCUUUUGUUCAACGACGUCUUUGGUGGCCCGCCAAAGUAUGCGGAAUCGCGUGGCGGUGGUGCUGGUGGAGGAAUUAACUCCUCCUCUUCUGCAUUUGAUUAUGACUCCAUUUUCAAGGACCAGAAUGCGAAAUCUUCGUCUCUUCCGGUUUUUGAUAAGCCAGUUUAUGAUGAUGAUAUUUUUGAUGGAUUGCCUGGUCUCAAGAGUUCGUCUGUGGGUCCGCAAUCGGCUAAGUUUGAUGAUGCGUUUACUUCGAUCGGUACUGCUUCUUCCCCAAAACGUAGGGCGCAAAACAACAGCUCGCCAUUCGAUGAUCUGUUGGAGAAUUUAGGUAAAAAGGAGACUGAAUCCAGGAGAGAGACUGCCAAAGCGGAUAAGGAUUCAGCUGCUUUUGAUGAUUUGCUUCCUGGUUUUGGUCGCAGUAGCUCCCCUAGUAUUCCCAGGUCAACUUCAGAGUCCAGUCGGUCCCAGAAACCAUCAGCAAAUUCGGCCAGGAUAACCUCCAGUAUAAUAGAAGACCCUUUUGUUGUCUUAGAAUCAGCUUCAACCCCUGCAUCUUCAUCCUCAGGGUUGUAUGUAGACCCAUUGGAAGAAAUUAGUAAAUUCAGUAGCUCUGGAAACACAAAGUUUGAUAAUUCAUCGGUCAAUAUAGGAGUAUUUGAUGAUAUGGACUCCUUUGAUAAUCUUGGAAAAUCUGUACCUCCAGUUUCACAUGGAGUCAAUAGGAGAGGAAAAGACAGGAGCCCUCUAAGAACUGGACCAAGCAUGGGUGGCACUUUUUCAACUUCUAGUAAAGAGCCAGUUGACAAAUAUCCUGUGGAUGAAGCUGAAGGCCAGUCACAGAGGAAUAUGCCUAAUGAUGAUUUCCAGGAAUCACAUGAAACAUUGUUUGAUAUGCCUUCUGUUGGUCAAAAUGUCUCAUCUCCUUCAUAUGUGAAUGCCAGUACUAAUGAGGCAAAUUCACCUCCAAGAUCUGAAGAUAUUUCAGAAUCACCUGAUGAUGUGUGGCUUACUGUGUCGGAAGUUCCACUUUUUACUCAACCCACAAGUGCUCCACCCCCUUCAAGACCCCCAAGGCCUCUACCACCUCGGAUUUCAAAGUCAGAGACAGGUUCUUUUUCAUCAACAAACUCAAGAAUGAAGGUUAAUGAA
rnacentral:misc_RNA from 1 species